AGAGUUUGAUCCUGGCUCAGAUUGAACGCUGGCGGAAUGCUUUACACAUGCAAGUCGAACGGCAGCACGGGUGCUUGCACCUGGUGGCGAGUGGCGAACGGGUGAGUAAUAUAUCGGAACGUACCUAUUAAUGGGGGAUAACUAAUCGAAAGGUUAGCUAAUACCGCAUACGCCCUGAGGGGGAAAGCGGAGGACCGUAAGGCUUCGCGUUAAUAGAGCGGCCGAUAUCUGAUUAGCUAGUUGGUGGGGUAAUGGCCUACCAAGGCGACGAUCAGUAGCUGGUCUGAGAGGACGACCAGCCACACUGGAACUGAGACACGGUCCAGACUCCUACGGGAGGCAGCAGUGGGGAAUUUUGGACAAUGGGCGCAAGCCUGAUCCAGCCAUUCCGCGUGAGUGAAGAAGGCCUUCGGGUUGUAAAGCUCUUUCGCAAGAGAAGAAAACUUACCCUCUAACAUAGGGUGAGGUUGACGGUACCUUGAUAAGAAGCACCGGCUAACUACGUGCCAGCAGCCGCGGUAAUACGUAGGGUGCGAGCGUUAAUCGGAAUUACUGGGCGUAAAGCGUGCGCANGCGGUUUUGAAAGUCAGAUGUGAAAUCCCCGGG
rnacentral:rRNA from 1 species